rnacentral:rRNA from 1 species
GAUGAACGCUGGCGGCGUGCCUAAUACAUGCAAGUCGAGCGAACAGACGAGGAGCUUGCUCCUCUGACGUUAGCGGCGGACGGGAGAGUAACACGUGGAUAACCUACCUAUAAGACUGGGAUAACUUCGGGAAACCGGAGCUAAUACCGGAUAAUAUAUUGAACCGCAUGGUUCAAUAGUGAAAGACGGUUUUGCUGUCACUUAUAGAUGGAUCCGCGCCGCAUUAGCUAGUUGGUAAGGUAACGGCUUACCAAGGCAACGAUGCGUAGCCGACCUGAGAGGGUGAUCGGCCACACUGGAACUGAGACACAGUCCAGACUCCUACGAGAGGCAGCAGUAGGGAAUCUUCCGCAAUGGGCGAAAGCCUGACGGAGCAACGCCGCGUGAGUGAUGAAGGUCUUCGGAUCGUAAAACUCUGUUAUUAGUGAAGUACAAAUGUGUAAGUAACUAUGCACGUCUUGACGGUACCUAAUCAGAAAGCCACGGCUAACUACGUG